rnacentral:piRNA from 1 species
UGACAAGUGAAGGGUGAACAAAAUGAAGA